AGGCCUGUGGUGUAGUGGAUAUCACUGGGGCCUCCGGAGCCCCGAACCUGGGUUCGAUUCCCAGCAGGCCUG
rnacentral:tRNA from 1 species